CACGAUGGGUGACAGCCCCGUACGCGACAUCUUUUCCGUGGUCCUCGAGUAGGGCGGGACACGAGACAUCCUGUCUGAACAUGGGGGGACCAUCCUCCAAGCCUAAGUACUCCUCAGCGACCGAUAGCGAACAAGUACCGUGAGGGAAAGGUGAAAAGCACCCCGACAAGGGGAGUGAAAUAGAACCUGAAACCGGUUGCCUACAAACAGUGGAAGCCCGCAAGGGUGACUGCGUACCUUUUGUAUAAUGGGUCAGCGACUUACAUUCAGUAGCAAGGUUAACCGUAUAGGGGAGCCGUAGAGAAAUCGAGUCUUAAUAGGGCGUUCAGUUGCUGGGUGUAGACCCGAAACCGGGUGAUCUAUCCAUGAGCAGGUUGAAGGUUGGGUAACACUAACUGGAGGACCGAACCGACUACCGUUGAAAA
rnacentral:rRNA from 15 species